UACGUGAGGGUGCAAGCGUUAAUCGGAAUUACUGGGCGUAAAGCGUGCGCAGGCGGUUUGUAAGUCGUGAACGUGAAAUCCCCGGGCUCAACCUGGGAAUUGCGUUGGAGACUGCAAGGCUGGAGUCUGGCAGAGGGGGGUAGAAUUCCACGUGAUAGCAGUGAAAUGCGUAGAUAUUUGGAGGAACACCAAUGGCGAAGGCAGCCCCCUGGGUUAACACUGACGCUCAUGCACGAAAGGCGUGGGGAGCAAACG
rnacentral:rRNA from 1 species